AUUGAACGCUGGCGGUAUGCUUAAGACAUGCAAGUCGGACGGAGUACUUCGGUACUCAGUGGCGGACGGGUGAGUAACACGUGGGAAUCUGCCCAGUAGUGGGGGACAGCCCGGAGAAAUCCGGAUUAAUACCGCAUACGCCCUACGGGGGAAAGGCAGCAAUGCGCUAUUGGAUGAGCCCGCGUUAGAUUAGCUGGUUGGUGGGGUAAAGGCCCACCAAGGCGACGAUCUAUAGCUGGUCUGAGAGGAUGGCCAGCCACAUUGGGACUGAGACACGGCCCAGACUCCUACGGGAGGCAGCAGUCGGGAAUAUUGGACAAUGGCGCAAGCCUGAUCCAGCAAUACCGCGUGUGUGAAGAAGGCCUGCGGGUUGUAAAGCACUUUCAGUGGGAAGAUAAUGACGUUACCACCAGAAGAAGCACCGGCUAACUCCGUGCCAGCAGCCGCGGUAAAGU
rnacentral:rRNA from 1 species